rnacentral:rRNA from 1 species
UACGGAGGGGUGCAAGCGUUAUCCGGAUUUACUGGGUUUAAAGGGUGCGUAGGUGGGUCUGUAAGUCAGUGGUGAAAUCUUCAAGCUUAACUUGGAAACUGCCAUUGAUACUAUAGGUCUUGAAUUAUCUGGAGGUAAGCGGAAUAUGUCAUGUAGCGGUGAAAUGCUUUAGAUAUGACAUAGAACACCAAUUGCGAAGGCAGCUUACUACGGAUCGAUUGACACUGAGGCACGAAAGCGUGGGGAUCAAACAGG